UGGGGAAUCUUGCGCAAUGGAGGGAACUCUGACGCAGCGACGUCGCGUGAGCGAAGAAGGUCUUCGGAUCGUAAAGCUCUGUCUUUGGGGACGAAGGAAGUGACGGUACCCAAGGAGGAAGCCCCGGCUAACUACGUGCCAGCAGCCGCGGUAACACGUAGGGGGCAAGCGUUGUCCGGAAUUACUGGGCGUAAAGGGUGCGUAGGCGGUAUAUUAAGUCAGGUGUGAAACCCCACGGCUCAACUGUGGGCUUGCACAUGAAACUGGUAUGCUUGAGUACAGGAGAGGAAAGCGGAAUUCCUAGUGUAGUGGUGAAAUGCGUAGAUAUUAGGAAGAACACCAGUGGCGAAGGCGGCUUUCUGGACUGUAACUGACGCUGAGGCACGAAAGCGUGGGGAGC
rnacentral:rRNA from 1 species